UACGGAGGGUGCGAGCGUUGUCCGGAAUCACUGGGCGUAAAGGGCGCGUAGGCGGUUAGGUAGGUCCGUUGUGAAAACUCGAGGCUCAACCUCGAGACGCCGAUGGAAACCAUCUAACUAGAGUCCGGAAGAGGAGAAUGGAAUUCCUGGUGUAGCGGUGAAAUGCGCAGAUAUCAGGAAGAACACCCGUGGCUAAGGCGGUUCUCUAGUACGGUACUGACGCUGAGACGCGAAAGCGUGGGGAGCGAACAGG
rnacentral:rRNA from 1 species